rnacentral:lncRNA from 10 species
AGAGCUGCACCAGGGACCGGGUUAGCUGGAACCGCCGCAGAGCCAGCCGGGCCUCUUAAAGGGGCCAGCAGCCUCGGCAACGCUCGCUUUCCACUUUUUAGGGCGCUCCUCUCCCACGUCGCCUGCCGAGAGGGCUCCGUUUCUCUGUCCUCUCUGCCCGCAAUGCCCCUGGCCCCAAAUUCCUUCGGAUGUGCGCGACCGCGGCUGGAAGGGCUGGGGGACCACAGUAUCCGAAGGUGCAUCGGCACCCCACCCCCACUCUAGCCUGGGGAGGCCCAGAUCGACCUUUCGGGGAUAAGAGGGCGCCCGUGCCCCACGCUGCGGACCCGGGGGUGGGCUCCUCGAAUGCUAGCUGCGGGCCUUGUCCUCUCGAGAUCGGCCCGGGCACAGCUAAGCCCGCUGGUUCCCCCGCCCACUGAGGAGCCGAGCAGCAUGGGGGUUGGGGAGGCCGAGCAAGACCCUCCCGGGAUGACACCCACAAACUCGGCCUGGGCCUCGCCUCUGCUGAGCUGCUCAGCACCUCCCCACCACCCACACCCACACGCUGAGAUGAAGCUGACCCCGAGAGCUGGGGAUUCAUUUCACAGACAUGGGGCUUAGCGGGCCGCCUGGGGCAGACCGAGGCAACCCGAGGACCCAUUCAUUCAUUCAUUCAUUCAUUCAAAUGUUUUCACACCUACCACGUUAAAGGCCAAGUUCUCCAGUCUCUGGUGUCUCCUGAACCGUGUUGCAAACAUUAGUAUAUGUCAGGCGCCAUACUUAUUUAUUAUCCCCAUUUUACAGAGAAGGUCACUGAGACGUUAAGUAGCCACAAUGGUCCAAAGUGCAUGCUCUAACCGGCCUUCCACAAUGCUGGCCUCGGGCCUCGUGUCCAUUUCCGCAUUUGGUCCUCACCGCAAACCUCAGAGGGGAGGUGACCCCCACCUUGAACCCCC